rnacentral:rRNA from 1 species
UACGUAGGCAGCGAGCGUUGUUCGGAAUUACUGGGCGUAAAGAGUGCGUAGGCGGUGCUCUACGUCUGUCGUGAACUCUCCCGGCUCAACUGGGCGGGUGCGGCGGAAACUAGAGUGCUAGAGUGUGGGAGAGGUAAGCGGAAUUCCUGGUGUAGCGGUGAAAUGCGUAGAUAUCAGGAGGAACACCUGCGGUGUAGACAGCUUACUGGAUCACGACUGACGCUGAGGCACGAAAGCGUGGGUAGCAAACAGG